GAUGAACGCUCGCGCUAGGCUUAACACAUGCAAGUCGAGGGGCAGCACAAGGUAGCUUGCUCUCUGGGUGGCGACCGGCGCACGGGUGCGUAACGCGUAUGCAACUUGCCCUAUACAGGAGGAUAACCCGUCGAAAGACGGACUAAUACUGCGUAUGCUCACAACUUGGCAUCAAGUGGUGAGGAAAGAAAUUCGGUAUAGGAUAGGCAUGCGUCCCAUUAGCUUGUUGGUGAGGUAACGGCUCACCAAGGCAACGAUGGGGAGGGGAACUGAGAGGUUUAUCCCCCACACUGGUACUGAGACACGGACCAGACUCCUACGGGAGGCAGCAGUGAGGAAGAGUGGUCAAUGGGCGCGAGCCUGAACCAGCCAAGUCGCGUGAAGGAGGACUGUCUUAUGGAUUGUAAACUUCUUUUAUACGGGAAUAACAAGAGUCACGGGUGACUCCCUGCAUGUACCGUAUGAAUAAGCAUCGGCUAACUCCGUG
rnacentral:rRNA from 1 species